CUGGCGGCGUGCCUAAUACAUGCAAGUCGAACGCACUCUCGUUAGAUUGAAGAAGCUUGCUUCUGAUUGAUAACAUUUGAGUGAGUGGCGGACGGGUGAGUAACACGUGGGUAACCUGCCCUAAAGUGGGGGAUAACAUUUGGAAACAGAUGCUAAUACCGCAUAAAACCUAGCACCGCAUGGUGCAAGGUUGAAAGAUGGUUUCGGCUAUCACUUUAGGAUGGACCCGCGGUGCACUAGUUAGUUGGUGAGGUAAAGGCUCACCAAGACCGUGAUGCAUAGCCGACCUGAGAGGGUAAUCGGCCACACUGGGACUGAGACACGGCCCAGACUCCUACGGGAGGCAGCAGUAGGGAAUCUUCCACAAUGGACGAAAGUCUGAUGGAGCAACGCCGCGUGAGUGAAGAAGGUUUUCGGAUCGUAAAACUCUGUUGUUGGAGAAGAACGUAUUUGAUAGUAACUGAUCAGGUAGUGACGGUAUCCAACCAGAAAGCCACGGCUAACUACGUG
rnacentral:rRNA from 1 species